AAACACUCAAGCCCCGCUUGGUUUUGGGCGCAGGUCCCUCGGGACCCGCCCGUAACUCGUUGGUGGUCGGUACCGGCUCUAAGCGUAGCAAAAACUUUCGCUUGUGACGACGGUGCCUUCCCGCCAGGAAAGCUCACUUCCAAAGU
rnacentral:misc_RNA from 1 species